rnacentral:rRNA from 1 species
GACGAACGCUGGCGGCGUGCUUAACACACGCAAGUCGAACGGAAAGGCCCUGCUUUCGUGGGGUGUUCGAGUGGCGAACGGGUGAGUAACACGUGAGUAACCUGCCCUUGACUUUGGGAUAACUUCAGGAAACUGGGGCUAAUACCGGAUAGGAGCUCCUGCUGCAUGGUGGGGGUUGGAACGUUUCGGCGGUUGGGGAUGGACUCGCGGCUUAUCAGCUUGUUGGUGGGGUAGUGGCUUACCAAGGCUUUGACGGGUAGCCGGCCUGAGAGGGUGACCGGCGACAUUGGGACUGAGAUAGGGCCCAGACUCCUACGGGAGGCAGAAGUGGGGAGUAUUGCACAGUGGGCGGAAGCCUGAUGCAGCAACGCCGCGUGCGGGAUGACGGCCUUGGGGGUGUAAACCGCUUUCGCCUGUGACGAAGCGUGAGUGACGGUAAUGGGUGAAGAAGCACCGGCUAACUACGUG